rnacentral:rRNA from 1 species
AACGAACGCUGGCGGCAUGCCUAACACAUGCAAGUCGAACGAGACCUUCGGGUCUAGUGGCGCACGGGUGCGUAACGCGUGGGAACCUGCCCUUAGGUUCGGAAUAACUCCCCGAAAGGGGUGCUAAUACCGGAUAAUGUCUUCGGACCAAAGAUUUAUCGCCUUUGGAUGGGCCCGCGUUGGAUUAGCUAGUUGGUAGGGUAAAAGCCUACCAAGGCGACGAUCCAUAGCUGGUCUGAGAGGAUGAUCAGCCACACUGGGACUGAGACACGGCCCAGACUCCUACGGGAGGCAGCAGUGGGGAAUAUUGGACAAUGGGCGAAGGCCUGAUCCAGCAAGGCCGCGUGAGUGAUGAAGGCCUUAGGGUUGUAAAGCUCUUUUACCCGGGAUGAUAAUGACAGUACCGGGAGAAUAAGCUCCGGCUAACUCCGUG